UACGGAGGGUGCGAGCGUUGUCCGGAAUCACUGGGCGUAAAGGGCGCGUAGGCGGCCUGAUAAGUCGGGGGUGAAAGCCUGUGGCUCAACCACAGAAUUGCCUUCGAUACUGUAGAGCUUGAGACCGGAAGAGGUAAGUGGAACUGCGAGUGUAGAGGUGAAAUUCGUAGAUAUUCGCAAGAACACCAGUGGCGAAGGCGGCUUACUGGUCCGGUUCUGACGCUGAGGCGCGAAAGCGUGGGGAGCAAACAGGG
rnacentral:rRNA from 1 species